AUCUUAUCAAGAGAAGUUUAGGGAACUGGCCUGAUGACACUUCAGCAACCUCUGUACGCAGAAAGGUGCUACAUCCAGCAUUCUUGAGAGAUAAGAG
rnacentral:ncRNA from 1 species